rnacentral:misc_RNA from 1 species
UGUGGGAGCGGGCUUGCCCGCGAUGGCGUCGUAUCAGGCGACGAAGAUGUUGACUGACAGACCGCUAUCGCGGGCAAGCCCGCUCCCACA